GAGAGUUAAACAGUACGUGAAAUUGUUGAAAGGGAAACGAUUGAAGUCAGUCAUACCAACGGGAAAUCAACCUCUUGAGUUUGGUCUCGUGGGUUUUGAAGAGUUUCAAAGCCUUCGGAUUCGCGGGAUUGGGAUCUCUUGGCGUACUUUUUCGUACGGUUAGUCAACAUCGGUUUUGAAUGUCAUAAAAUGACUGGAGGAAUGUAGCUUCGAUCUCGUAUUGAAGUGUUAUAGCCUUUGGUAGAUGUGAUGUUUGAGACCGAGGAUUGCAACGGAUACCCUUCAGGGCUAUUCGUCUGAUCUCUGAUACGUUGCCUUGAUGUUGAAAGCUUGCUUAUGAUGUUAGGGUAUUACGGUCAAAAGGUUAGAACGAAUUACAUUCGUUAAGGAUGUUGACGUAAUGACUUUAAACGA
rnacentral:rRNA from 1 species